rnacentral:rRNA from 1 species
CCCUCCAGAGGGGGACAACCACUGGAAACGGUGGCUAAUACCCCAUAUGCUCACGGUUGUUAGAGGGACUGUGAGGAAAGGUUCCGGCGCUGGAGGAGGGGGCUGUGGCCCAUCAGCUAGUUGGUGCGGUAACGGCGCACCAAGGCGAGGACGGGUAGGGGGCCUGAGAGGGUGACCCCCCACACGGGUACUGAGACACGGACCCGACUCCUACGGGAGGCAGCAGUAAGGGAUAUUGCGACAAUGGGCGUAAGCCUGACGCAGCAACGCCGCGUGUGGGAUGACGGCCUUCGGGUUGUAAACCACUUUUCUGGGGGAAGAGGAAGGACGGUACCCCAGGAAUAAGUCUCGGCUAACUACGUGCCAGCAGCCGCGGUAAAACGUAGGAGGCGAACGUUAUCCGGAUUUACUGGGUGUAAAGCGCGUGCAGGCGGUGGUGUAAGUCGUGUGUGAAAGCGCCCAGGCUCAACCGGGCGAGGACGGACGAAACUGCAUCACUAGAGGCAGGUAGAGGCGUGCGGAAUUCCGGGUGUAGUGGUGAAAUACGUAGAUAUCGGAAGGAACAUCAGUGGCGAAGGCGGCUAUCUGGAUAAAUACUGACACUGAGAUACGAAAGCGUGGGUAGCAAACAGGAUUAGAUACCCUGGUAGUCCACGCCGUAAACGAUGAGAACUUGCUGUUAGAUGCCAUGAGCAUUUAGUAGCGGAGCUAACGCGUUAAGUUCUCCGCCUGGGGAGUACGGCCGCAAGGUUAAAACUCAA